GACGAACCGUGCGAACGUUAUUCGGAAUCACUGGGCUUAAAGCGCGUGUAGGCGGGAGGGCACGUCGGCCGCUGAAAUCCCCCGGCUCAACCGGGGAACGGGCGCCGAAACGACCCGUCUCGAGGGACGUAGGGGGACCUGGAACUUCCGGUGGAGCGGUGAAAUGCGUUGAGAUCGGAAGGAACGCCCGUGGCGAAAGCGAGGUCCUGGACGUCUACUGACGCUGAGACGCGAAAGCUAGGGGAGCGAACGGG
rnacentral:rRNA from 1 species